rnacentral:lncRNA from 1 species
GGGGUUUUAUUUUAUUUUAAUUUUAUCAUGUUUUUGAGAAAACAUGAAAGAAAAAGACCCAACGAUACAUAUUUAUUUUUCAUCAGUCAUAAGCACCCCCCCAUACUUAGGCUGAAAAUUGAUCCAUCAGCACUUAAACGGAACCGCUGAAACCUUUAUUGUAAGCAUAUUCAAUAAGGGAAUCCAACUCAUCAUUGGUGCAGUCGAUCAAAUUGUCCUUAUUUUUAUCAGCAACGUCCAUGGCCUCUUCAACUUGCUUGUUUGCCGUGAGUGCACCUAGAUGUUGAAAAGCAUCCUUGAGCUGGUCCGUGGUGAGGCUGCCCUGCUUAGAGUAAGAUCGAAACACUUGUUCCAAUUUGUUUUUCUGAUCCUUGUUAUCCUUUGUGGCUUGCAUUGUGGAUUUUGAGGUUUGUGACCGGGUGAUAUUAGAGAGAAGGCUUGCCUAGUUUGGUUUGGUUUUCUUGUCCAAUGCAAUUUGUUUAUAUAGACCCAAAACUCUGAAUACGAUUCUGUUGAAGUGUUGGGGAAUAAAACAUUUUUUGGUGGUGGGUUUUAAAAAUUGAUUUCCAUCUUUUUUAUCAAUAAAAUUAAUAAAUCAAUCAAUAAAUUUUAUAAUGAAUACUUAAAAAAAAUAUUCCAAGAGGAUUGGUACGAAUAAAAAUAUUAAUGUUAAUUUCUUCUUUUCUUCUGGCUUCAAAUUAACCACAGAUUGGAAAAAGCUAAAUAGCAGCCUCCACUAUCUUGUGUCCAUUUUCUAUUGUUUCAUUUGUUUUAGCCCUCAAUUUGCAGUUUUUAGGUUUUUCUGUUUUUUUUUUUUUUUGGUUCCCUGAUUAAAUGAUGCAUUUUGGUCCAUUUGGUUUUAAUGAAUUUUCAGAAUUUGGUAGAUCUCGUGAAAGGAGUUCUAGGAAGUACUUUGAUGAGCAUGCUUGUAAAUUGUGAUAAUUAUUGUGUAUGAAUGUUAAGUUAUCCAAAAAUAAAUAAGUUUAGCAUUAGGACUUUCUUUCUUUUAUUGUUUGCCAUAAAUGAUUCUGGAGCAAAGCAAACUACUGUUAAACUAAUUAUUUGCAUUGUACCACUUCCAGGAAUCAUGGCCUUAGUGGGUUAAAACUGUAUACAUGUAUUUCUCUCAUAUGUUCUUAAUCUGGGUAGGAUAGAAUUAAGUUUGGGCUAUCUCAAUUCCUUUGCACCUUUUUUCCCUUGUACUGUAAUAUUUUCUCAACCACCCUUUUGCAAGGGGAAAGCUGUAAUAUUAUAUAUAUAUAUAUAUAUAUAUAUAUAUAUUUUAAAUUAGAUAAUUUUGUAAAAAAAUUAUAUUGAUGGAAGUGUGUACAUGGUAUUCAGAUUUUAUUUUUUCAUUUCUUCACUUUUUAUAAAGCUUUAUUUUUAAAAAGUUCCUAUACAAAUUUUUACAAGAAUAAAUUCAUCAUUAGUAUAGUGCAUGACAAUUCAAUUUUUUGUCCUUUUAUUGAUUUUUGAUUUUAUUUUGAUUUAGUUUUUUCUCCAUUUUGAUUAUUAUUCAAUUUUCAGCUGAAAAAACUAUCGAAGUUGUCCACAUGACAUCUAUUUAUUUUUGCCUAUUUAUUUUUUAAAUUAGAUAAAUUAAAUAUAAAAAAACGAAUAUAAAAUAUCUAAAAGAUAUAAAAUCAAGUUGAAGUAUAGAACAAAAUUAUCUUGUAUUCAAUGAUUUCUAUGGAUCAAGUCGGGUGUGCUUUUUCUUUUUUUUUUUUUAAUUUAGGAUUGGAACCUUAAAAAAUAUGAAUUAUUACCAAAUUAUCAGUAGCAUCAUCUUAAUAAAAUAAUUUGUGUAAGAAACCUUUAUGAAGUAAGAAACGGAAAACUUAUAAUUGAAAAAUGAAUUAAUUAAUAGUAGGAUAGAAAAAUAAUUUAAAAGAUUACAAUUAGUAAUUUCAUAAUCAAAUAAAUGAAUUUUUUUUUAAAUUAAUGUAAAACUAUGUUUUCUAAACCAAAGCAAUGCACAAAUGACACCACAAAUUGAUCCUUCAUAUAUGCCUCACAAACAUUUUAAUAAAAUUACAAAAAAAAUUUAACUAUUUCCAAAAAUAAAAUCUUGAUAUAUAUAAUUUUGCUAAAUAAGAUAUUUAAAUUUUUGAUAAAUAAAGUUACCUUCAUAAAUGAAAUCUUACUUGAAAUCCUGCAACUAAUUAACUCAUUUUGAUAGUUUAAUUUUCAUUAAAGUGUAAUUUUCUUUUGCUUGCUAAGACCAACAUCUGUAUGUACUUUAAUUCUUUUGUCAAAUAGCUAUAGUUUUAUCAAAAUCAUUUUCGUCUAUGUAAUAUACCUACAUAUAUGCACAUGCAAAAACAAAUGCAUAAAUGUGUGUAAAAUUAAAAAGAAUUAAGCAUUUAAUUAGAUUCAUAUAUAUAUAGAUAUAUAUAUAUAUAUAUAUACACACACAUACACACACUAUCUGUAUUCUUCAUAAAUAGGUUGACUUUCAAGUUUUCUCGAAGCCUUUUAUCAUGUUUUUAAGUAAUAAAAAUAUUAGUGUAUGGUUCAUAAUAGUACGAUAACAUGUUCACGGUAUUUGAUACACACAACAUAACUUGCAAGCAUGUAAAAUUACACAGAUUUGAAUAAAAACAGGGGGUUUUAUUUUAUUUUAAUUUUAUCAUGUUUUUCAGAUAACAUGAAGGAAAAAGACCCAAAGCUAUAUAUUUAUUUUUCAUCAGUCAUAAGCAUCCUCCAUACUUAGGCUGAAAGUUGAUCCAUCAGCACUCAAACGGAACCGCUGAAGCCUUUAUUGUAAGCAUAUUCAAUAAGGGAAUCCAACUCAUCAUUGGUGCAGUCGAUCAAAUUGUCCUUAUUUUUAUCAGCAACGUCCAUGGCCUCUUCAACUUGCUUGUUUGCCGUGAGUGCACCUAGAUGUUGAAAAGCAUCCUUGAGCUGGUCCCUGGUGAGGCUGCCCUGCUUAGAGUAAGAUCGAAACACUUGUUCCAAUUUGUUUUUCUGAUCCUUGUUAUCCUUUGUGGCUUGCAUUGUGGAUUUUGAGGUUUAUGACAGGGUGAUAUAAGAGAAAGGGCUUGCCUAGCUUGGUUUGCUUUUCUUUUCCAUUGCAAUUUGUUUAUAUAGACCCAAAACUCGAAUAGUAUUCUGUUGAAGUGUAGGGGAAUAAAAUCUUUUUUGUGAUGGCUUUUAAAAUUUGAUUUCGAUUGAAAGCAAACAAUAUAAUUGUAUGAUAUUUUCUUCAUUUGAAUUUUUUUUAAGUAUCCAUUUUAUCAAUAAAAUUAAUAAAUCAAUCAAUAAAUUUUUAUAAUGAAUACAAAUAAACAAAUAUUCGAAGAGGAUUGGUUCGAAUAAGAAUAUUAAUGUUGGCUUGAAAUUAACCACAGAUUGGAAAAUGCUAAAUAGCAGCCUCCACUAUCUUGUGUCCAUUUUCUAUUGUUUCAUUUGUUUUAGCCCUCAAUUUGCAGUUUUUAGUUGCUUUGUUUUUUUCGUUGCCUGAUUAAAUGAUGCAUUUGGAUAAAUUUAUUAUCAAAGCUUUAUGAUGAAUACCUAUAGACUUUUUGUAGUAAUAUGAUGAUGAUAAUAGUUUUGAAAGAACUAAAAACCUUUUGCUGUUAUUUGUUCACCCGAAAACUGAGAGUAAUCAUGUUAAUAGAGAAAUGCUCAGACAUUGAAGUUGGAAAAAGGAAAAGUGGUUGAGAAGCUGAAUAUGGGAUAAAAUUGUGGCAACUGGCAAGUGUACAUUAACUUUUCUGGGAUAAGAGUUUUAGUUUACAAAAUGUCGUUUUGGCCGAAUAUAUGUCUUAUAUGAAAAGUCUGAUGACUGAAAACGUAAAUUUGAUCUAUGAUGUCACUAUUCCAGCAUCCACGGUGGAGAGUUCUUGUUGAUAAUCAAUAUUAAGUUUGGGCAGUGAACCUAUCAGAGGCCAGUUUUUGUUAUUGGGAUAAAACUGGUUUUGUGUGUAUUGUUUCAUUUGCAUGACAUUUAAGCUGUCUGUUCAUCUAGUAUUAUAAAACUUGUUCAUUUGACUGGAGGUGCAGUGGGAUUUGCAGGUCUGUGGAGAGGAUAAUGGAAGUUCAUGAACGUUGUGGUGAGGACAAGAAUGCUUUAUGGAGCACAAACUUUGUGCAAACACCAAGUUCUUUCUGCUGUUGCUCUUAUUUUAUGCUUAAAAUCAUAAGCUUUUUUUAUGCUUUUACUACAAAAUUUACAUCAAUUUAACAAACCUGAGAAUCCGAUAUUAUAAUAAUGGCCACUGCAGGGGAACUUUGCUUUUCUAUUACAAGUUCUUUCAGAAAGUACUUAUUGCUUUGUGUUUUCCUUACAACUGACCACAAUCUUUUACUUCCCAAAAUCAUGCCUCUGAUUAAGUAAAACCUGCUGGAAAAACUAUGUUACACUUGCAAACACAAGACUUCAUAUAUAUAAACAGAAAAACACUACAAAAUUCAUAUUUCACAUUUGAAUGUUAAUUUUUUCUUUUUUAUGUGAAGUUCUUCAUAGCGAUGAGAAUUUAAUACUGAAUUAAGUUAGUGUUACAAUGAAGACACACAAAGGCUUUGUUCAUAUCUUAUGUGUAUCUAUCAGGUGUCUCUGGACUGAGUAAUGAAUGUGUUGAAUCGAAACGUACACGGCUAAAUCAAAUAGCUAGCUUUUUCAUACGUUUUGUUGCACUUAGAUGUGAAUCAUUUUUUCAGAGGGAGAUUUAUUACAUCUUUAGUAAAUGUUUUGAUGCAAAACAAAUGAAUUUGCUUUAUCUUAUGAAAAAAAUGGAUAAUUAUCCUAAAAUGAAUUACAAAUUUUGAUUUGUCUUUCAAUAAAGCUUUCUCUUCAAUGCUCCAAUGGUCAUAUAAUACCAAAAAACCUGCAUCCUCAGUCUCAGAUUGUCCUCAACCUCACCUGACUUGCAUCAGUGAAUCUGAUCACACUGCAUGAUUUCAUGUAUGGAUAUAUAGAUAUCUUGGACCAUUUAUAUAUAAUUCCAAACCAUUUUACAUUUCAUAUAAUUCACCCCUACAUUUAAUUACUACUUAGGACAGCAAUAGAAAUGUUGAUUGAACAGUUCUUUUAAUUUUAUGAUUCAAAUGAUGAAAACUUUGAAGUAAUUACAUUUAAUGAUGGUGAUUCAAAUGGGGGUGUUCAUGUGACACCUUUAUUGAGCUUUUUUUUUUGGUUUUUGUUUUUCUCCUUUUUUUUUCAAAUUUUUUAUAUUUUUAUUUUUUGAUUAGAUAAAUUUAAUGAGAAAAAAGGCCAUCGAGAUAUAUUCACAUGUCACUUCUAUCUAGUUUUCUUAUCUUUUAUUUUUUUUAAUUAGAUAAGUUUUAUAAAAAUAAUAUAAAAAUUAUUUUUAAUUUAGUUUUAUUAAAAUUUAUAUGAAAAUAAUAGAAAAAUAAAAUAAAUUAUCAAUUAUUUUAAUUAAUAAAAUAGUUAAACUUACGCGUAGGCUCAUUUCUAGUAUUUAAAAAAAUGAUAAAGAAACUUAUUUAAACUCCAUCUCUUAAUUUAAGCUUUAAUUAGAACAUGCUAGUAGUUGAUUUAUAGAGCUCACUAGUUUGUUAUUUGUUCGACGCAGGUAUUAUUUUUAAUUAUUUAAAUGUGUAGACACAUAAAUUAUUACUGUUUAGUCACUUAUAUAUUCAAGAUAUAACGGAGAUAAUUGCGGUCGCUGCGAUCAUCACAGUCGUGAAAUUUUUUUUUUUUUGCACAAUUUAUUAUAACAUGUAAUAAUUAUAAUUAUAAUUAUAAAAACUCUUAUUCAAUGAUUCUAAAAAUAGUUUAUGACACUCCAUGUUUUUUAUUUUCUAAAAAAAUUAUUCACAAUUUUAUUUAGAUUAUAAAAAGCAUUCAUAUUUGGUUUAUCCAUAAAAUUUUUCUUGGCCAAGUUCAUAUUCAAUAUUAAUUCUAGACAAAUCAAAUAUUAAUAAAACAUAAUAUGUUAAAUACCAAGCAUUUAAUUUAAUAAAAUUACAAACUUAAAAAUAUAAUAAAUUCAAAUUUCAUCAACUACAAUUCUUGAUACAUAUUUCAAAUUUACCACAUGGUAGAAUGACGAGGAGGAUCAGACUCUCUAUCUUCACUUUGAAAGCCAAGUUGACUCCAUCUCCAUUCCUGAGGCCUUUGUUCUUGAUACAUUUGAGGUGAAAGAUAUAUUUGAGGAUGAUACACUUGUGGUGGAGGGUACAUUUAUGGUAACUGAUACAUUUGAGGUGGAGGAUAACCAUAUGGAGGUGGAUAACCAUGAGGAGGAUGAAAAUUAUGUUGUUUUGGUGGAUAGUAAUGUCUUUGAGUACUAGCAGAUGAUUCAUUAUACUCAAAGUUACUAGAAUUUGGUUUUUCACCUAAAGUGAAGAACCUCUAGAAAUUUCAUAGUGGUGCUUCUUCGCUUUUCCUUUUGAUCGAGCUGUACGUGCACUUUGACCCUCACUAGUUCAGCAAAUGGAUUUCCUCCGUAUUCUACCAUAUUAAUGAAAAGUCCACCAGUAGCAGCAAGCCCAAAUUCUCCUCUAAAUGGGCUGUAAGGUCGAUUUGCAUCCACAUUAUCACCAAAAUUUACACCAUCACCAUCACCAUCUCCAUCACCAUCAUCAUCUAGACUUAAACCACCACCAUCAUCACUUUGACUUAGUGUUGGACUUGAACUUGAAUGAGACACAUUCUUUUCUUGAGAUAGACGUGAUCGUUCAACAUUCAUUUCAUUAUUAGAAUUAUCUGCAGGCAACUAAUCAGAGUUUUGACCAUCUAAUAGAAGAUUUUCUUUCUCUUGCAGCCAUUCUAUUAGUGGAUCAUCAUCAUCAAAAAUAUGGUCAAGGCUAAUAGGAUUAAAACUAUUAUUUAUUUCAUCAAUGCUCAUUCUUUUCUGAUGUCUCAUCCUCAACCUCAUGUUAUAAUAGGUAUAUACAAGUUUCUGGAGUCUUUCAAACUUCAAUCUAUUUCUUGCUUUGGUGUGAAUAUAGCUAAAUGUGCUUCAAUUAUGUUCACAAUUUGAUGUAGAUGUUGUUUGACUAAGCACUUUGAUUGCUAGUUUUUGUAAUUCAGGAACACAAGUGCCAUAUAUCAUCCACCACUCAACUGUAUAAAAUUAUUUAAAUUAAAUUUCAAUGGGCUAUACAAUUAAAUAAUAUAAAUAAAUUAUAAUUAUUUAACUUACUAGUUACCUAGAUUCAUUUGCUUCCAAGCUCUUUGUGCUUGUGGACUACCUAAUGUUUUAUGCUUGUCUCAAAAUAAUAACAACUACAUCGAUUGAAAAUACAAUAAUGAAUGAAUAAAUAAAAAAUAAUUUAAUUUUUAAUACAUAAAAUAAAUGUUAAAGUUAUAAAAUAGUAUUAAAUACUAACCUGAUUAAUUAUUUUGAUUUGAGUAUCUAUCGAAUGUUCUAAUCUUUCAAUAACUGCUUUUAUACCUUCUAAUGUUUCCUUAAAUACAUUUGCAGAAUGUUCCACACCAAAUUGAAAUUAUGGAUUUAGAUAGUAACCUAAACAUAAUUUAUAACAAUAUUAUAUUAAAGUAAUAAAAAAUAAAUAUAUAAGCAAUUUAAGUAUUAAAAAUAAACAUAUUUUUUAAAUACCAUCUAUAUUCUUGGUUUACUUAUCAGCUGAAUGCAAGUCAGAGUGCAUAAAACUCCAUCUAUUGUCAAUAAUCUUUUCAUAUUCAGCAGAAUAAUGACAAGUUUGUUGAAUUGCUUGUUUAGCUCUAUCCACAGCCUCGUAAAUAAAGCCCAUUGUUGGUUUUUCAUCAACAUCCACAAGGCACAACACUUUUACCAAAGGCUCAUAAACUUUUAUUAUAUCGCCUACUUUUUUCCAAAAAUCUUUUCCCAAAAUGAUUUUUUUGACUUCAUAACCAAGUCUUGAUUUUUGUUGUCCCCAUUUUGAAUCUUUAAAUUCCUAUAUAUUCAUCAAUAAAUUUUUUAGAGUAAUAUAUUUUAAAUUAAUAUUUUAAAACAAUAAUAUCAUAAAAAGAUGCUAGAUUUAAAUAGUUUUUUCUAAUUACUAAGUACUAACCUUUGAAUUGAACAUCUCUCUCAAACUUUGCUUUUGCCUCAUUAUUUUUUCUAAUUGUAUGAAAUGAGUGGCAAAUCGGGUAAGAGCAGGAUGAAGUAUUUGCUUCCCAUGUGUAUAUUUCUUCAUCAAAUUAACAGUCCAAAUGUGAUUGUAUAUAAAACAAGUCACUUUCUUUACAUCAUCCAAAACCUUUGCCACAUUUUUUCCCUCCAAUAUCUUCAAGGCACAAGUCCAAACAAUGAGCUGAUCAUGCUGUCCAAUACAAAUGUUUUCUCUUUAUCUUUUUCCUGCAGCCUUAAAUGCUGCCUCGUUAUCAGUGACUAUUUGAACAAUGUAUUUUUCUCCAAUUUCUUCCACAACUUCAUCUAAUAAUCUGUAGUAAAAGUUUGUAUCUCUACUACGAACACUUGAAAUAUCUACAGAUUUUCAAAAAAUAGUCUUUUUACUACAGUAAACAAGGAAAUUAAUGAUAUGCAUUUGAUUCAAACUAUUGGUCCAACCAUCACACAUCAAAGUGACACCCAAUUCAUUCCAAUAAGCUUUUAAUCCAUUAACCCAUUCAUGAACUUGUUGAUACUCAGACUCCAAAUACACAUCUGAGACCUCAUAAGGUGUUGGAAGUCUUACAUGUUGGCCAACUUCUACUGCCAUAGAAAUCAAAUUAUGCAACCAUGGGGAAUUUGCUAAUUGAAAAGAAAGUCGAUCAUAUAUCAAAAAUUUUGAUACUGAUUCACCCAUUUUUCUUCUUAAUGUCUUUAGAAAUGAAUCACUUACUUUUGGUUGUCUUGAACUUUUACUUCUAACCAAUUCAAGAACAGCUCCCCUUAAUGAAAAUUUAGACUCAUUUGGAAUUGAUUUUCUUGUUCUUUCUUCAAAAUAUUCAGCAACUGAACCAUGAGAGCUUCGUCCUUCUUCAUAUAUGUUACUCCAACCACUAGUUCUUUGUCUGAAUUCUUGUCUUCUGUGCCACUCAUGUUGUGAUUGGAUACUAUCUCGCACGGCUUGUCUAGUAGCAAUGUCUUCAUCAAUAAAUCCUUCAUAAUCAUCUUCCCCUCUUAACUGUGAUAAAAAUUCAUUUUUUCUCCUUUUGUUGUCAGCUUUUUUUAAUUUGCUUUCUUAAAAGAGUUUCAUCAUACUUUCUCUUACUAUACCUAUUAAUAAUAUAGUUAAAAAAAGAAGAGAAAAUUAGUUGCACAUGCUUAUGUAAUUUUAUAAUUUUUAUUAAAAAAUUAACAAUAAUAUUUUCAAAGAAAUUAAAAAAACUUAACAUACCAGUAACGUUGGGGCAUGGUGCAACAUUGCCAGUUUUAUGAGCAAUGUGUUCUUUGAAACGUGUUAUUCCUCCUUUUACAACUUUACCACAAAGUUUACAUGAAACAUUUCCUCUUGUAUUUGGCACAGGUGUUCCAAAAUACCAACCUAUAUCAUCAUUUGGCGCGCCCUUUACUCCUUUACUCGGGAACUCUUCACGUGGUGGCAUACUUACUAUUUUGUAUAAAAAUAAAAUAAACUUAUAUUUAGAAAUAUUAAUAUUACUUAUUACAUCAUUAAAAAUUGAUUUUACACUAAAUUUUUUAAUUUUUAGUUUUUAAUAUUAAGAAUAUUAUUAAAUAACUUAAUCUUUUUGAUGCACUAAUUGAUAUUAAUUUUUUUAUCACAAAUAACUUCAAAUAAUUAUAUAAUAAAUACAAUCUUCAAUAAUUACUCAAAAAUAAUAAGAAUUAAUCUAAUAUCAAAAGAAUUGACAACAAUAUAAAUAUCAAAACAACAAAAAAAUUUAUUAAAUUUCAUAUACAAAAUUAUAAAUUAAUAUCUAACACAAUCAAAAUAUAAUAUUUAAUUUUAAUUAAUUUUUGUCUAACUUAUAUAAAAAAUUUAUCAAUAAUUUUCAUCUACAAUCUCUAUGUAUAUCAUAUUAAAUUAUUAAUCUUUUUUUUUUAAUUAUAAAUCUUCAAUCCCUCUAAUUAGAUUUUAUCUAAAAAAAUUUCAAAAAAUUAAAAGCUUUCAAACUUAUAUUUUAAUAAAAUUUUCAAACCUAUAUUUUUUAUUUUUUAGUUUUUAAUCUUAAUAAGAGUAAUAGAUCAUAAAAUGCUAAAUUUGUUAAGUAACUUAAUUUUUUUGAUACACUAAUUGACAUAAAAAUUUUUUUAUCACAAACAACUUUUAAUAAUUAUAUAAUAAACACAAUCUUCAAUAAUUACACAAAAUAACAAGAAUUAAUAUAAUAUCAAAAGAAUUGACAAUAAUAUAAAUAUCAAAACAACAAAAAAAAUUAAAAUUCAUAUACAAAAUUAUAAAUUAAUAUAUAACACAAUCAAAAUAUAAUAUUUAAUUUUAAUUACCUUUUCAUCUAACUUAUACAAAAAAAUUUAUCAAAAUUUUUCAUUUAAAAUCUCUAUAUAUUAUAUUAAAUUAUUAAUCUCUUUUUUUUUAAUUAUAAAUUUUCAAAACCACUAAUUAAAUUUUAUCUAAAAAAUUUUCAAAAAUUAAUUACAAAAUUAAAUAAAAAAAUUCAAUCCCACCCUCCAAACACCCUACCACACCCAAUCCCUCAUCACCUCCAUCAAUCUUUGUCCACCUUUCCCCCCAACAUCCCACCACACCCAAUCCCUCCCCACCUUCCCCCCAACGCCCCACCACACCCAAUCCUCCCCACCCCAUCCAAUCUCUCCCCACGUGCCUAAUAUCUCAAAUUUGUUUAAUUCUUUCUAGUAAAUGGUAGACCCUUCUAGAAACGCUACUUUCUUCUGUUCAUCAUCUUCUUCGUGUUGCCUUCUUUGGCUUUCCAUAAAUUUUUUCUAUCUUUUUUUUUUCAUUUCUCAUUUUCUCUCACAUCUCUUUAUAACUAUCACUUGCUAACUUGCCUAGUAUCUACAAAUAUCUCGUUUGUCUUUCAAACUCUCACAAGAAACAACAGAUCAUUUUACAAAAAUUUUACAAGAAAAAAAGGUAAUUUAACUUUCUUUUCUUACCUUAUUUGAUCUUGAAUGUUGAUUCAAAACUUCAAGCUGAUUUGAAUUUGAAUGCCAAAAAUGCCGAUUGAAUGGUUGAAAGUUGAAACUUGAAAUAAUUGAUCUGUUUUCUAGCUCGUUUUAAAAUUUAUUUUGAUGAUAAAGAUCUGAGAUUGUGAGCUUUAUUUUUUGAUUUGACUUUUACUUUUACUUUUACAGGUUUGUUGUUUUAUUCUGCAGGCUUAAAAUUUUAUUUUUUUGUUAGAACUAUUAGAUCCGUGAGUAGAAAAACGAAAUAGCGACAAUAACGGUCCGUUAUUGUUGCUAUUGCCCGUUAUGCCAUUAUUUUACUACCGUUACUCUCCGUUUUUACUGUGAAUGAAUUUCUCAACCGUUUUUUAUCUACUAACGGUGGCGGAGGGCAGCGCUACCAUCAUUUUACGAUCGCUAUUUCGCUAUCAAACCAUUAUUUGAAUCUCUCAGCACGGUUUGGCUUAGUCCAAGCUGAAUUCUUUUUCUUUGUUUGCUAUAGCUUAGACCAACUAAAGGUUGGUUAUGCAGGAUGAAAAAAGGGAUGGAAGAAUUUAUGGCAUGACCGAACAGCUACUGCUAGAAGGAGAAACAGCAGCUGUUCGACAACAACCAGUAAAGAAAAAAAAAGAUGAGAUCUCAGCCAUCUUUGUAACAAGAGCAUUAGAGUACAUAAACUUAAACUUCAUCCACACUCACACUAAAGUCCAAGCAUGCAAAGAACAAAUGAAAACACAUUGCAGAGAAGAUCAUAACCAGUGCAGAAAUGGAAUAGAAAACAAUGAUAUAAAACGGCAUACAUGCCCUUGUAUGUGGGUUGCUCACCUUUGAAAACUCUUUUGUUUUCAACUCCCCCCACCUUUUUUUUUCUUUUUUCAGAUCCUUCCUCCUCUUUUUUCCCCUCCUUUCCAGCAGCUUCUUCUCCAUGCUUUUAUUUGGCAAACCCUUCCAAGAAAUGCAAGAUUUUAAUCUUGCCCAACGAGGGCCCUUGGAUGAAAUCUCAUCCAAGGGCCAUAUUUAUUCCUUUUCUUAUUUCCAAGGAGACACCUUUGGCCCUUGGAUUAAAAGCCAGCAAAGGAUCCAAAGGCUCAAACUACACACUGUAAAGGUUGAAUCUUUAUGCCUCUCAAACCUAUAAAAUAAACCAUUUUAUUCCCUAAUGUAAAGUUUUAGUGUUUAUGGUCAUUUUCUUAGAAAUCAAAGUUCCCAUAGUUAUUUUUUGGAUUUUCAAGCACCAAAAAUUAUAAAUUAUUAUGAAGUUAAGAUCUGAAAUGUUUCGUGAAAAUCUGAGUUUGGAAAGAUCAAAUUACAAAAAUACCCUUAUAGAGAUAUUUUGGUAAUUUUAUACUUUUUCAGGUAUACUAUGAUUUCAAAUACACUAAAAAUCAUGAAAUAUUAUAAAAUUAUGAUCUAAAAAGUUGUACAAAAUUUCAGGCUUGGAAAGAUCAAAUUAUAAAAAUAUCCUUAUAAGAGAUAUUUUAAUAAUUUUAUACUUUUCAGGGUACAAUAAAAACUCCAACAUUUCAAAAAAUCUCAAAUUUAACUUUAAACCGAAUUGAUUUCAACUUUUGAAUUAUUAGAAUUGAGUCAAGCUCUAUCUAUUUUGACCAAGUUUCUUGCAAUUUUGACCAAGGUUGAAUUUGGAGUUGACUUUAUUAGGCCUAAAUAUUGAUUUCUUAAAGGGCUUUUUUUAUCGGCUUCAAGUGGGUUUUAUUUAACUAUGCUAAUAUAUUUCGAAUAAAAUUUAGUGUCUAUAGCUGUCCUUUUUUGCUUAUUUCUGAGAAUAAAAAAUAAUGCAAAAAUAUAAAUAGUAAUUUUAUCUAGAUAAUGCUUUUGAAAUUUUCUUUUUUAACAUGUUUUGAACUUGUUUGAAAAUUGCCCUCUCCAAACAAAGGCUUUGACACUUUGAAAUNNNNNNNNNNNNNNNNNNNNNNNNNNNNNNNNNNNNNNNNNNNNNNNNNNNNNNNNNNNNNNNNNNNNNNNNNNNNNNNNNNNNNNNNNNNNNNNNNNNNNNNNNNNNNNNNNNNNNNNNNNNNNNNNNNNNNNNNNNNNNNNNNNNNNNNNNNNNNNNNNNNNNNNNNNNNNNNNNNNNNNNNNNNNNNNNNNNNNNNNNNNNNNNNNNNNNNNNNNNNNNNNNNNNNNNNNNNNNNNNNNNNNNNNNNNNNNNNNNNNNNNNNNNNNNNNNNNNNNNNNNNNNNNNNNNNNNNNNNNNNNNNNNNNNNNNNNNNNNNNNNNNNNNNNNNNNNNNNNNNNNNNNNNNNNNNNNNNNNNNNNNNNNNNNNNNNNNNNNNNNNNNNNNNNNNNNNNNNNNNNNNNNNNNNNNNNNNNNNNNNNNNNNNNNNNNNNNNNNNNNNNNNNNNNNNNNNNNNNNNNNNNNNNNNNNNNNNNNNNNNNNNNNNNNNNNNNNNNNNNNNNNNNNNNNNNNNNNNNNNNNNNNNNNNNNNNNNNNNNNNNNNNNNNNNNNNNNNNNNNNNNNNNNNNNNNNNNNNNNNNNNNNNNNNNNNNNNNNNNNNNNNNNNNNNNNNNNNNNNNNNNNNNNNNNNNNNNNNNNNNNNNNNNNNNNNNNNNNNNNNNNNNNNNNNNNNNNNNNNNNNNNNNNNNNNNNNNNNNNNNNNNNNNNNNNNNNNNNNNNNNNNNNNNNNNNNNNNNNNNNNNNNNNNNNNNNNNNNNNNNNNNNNNNNNNNNNNNNNNNNNNNNNNNNNNNNNNNNNNNNNNNNNNNNNNNNNNNNNNNNNNNNNNNNNNNNNNNNNNNNNNNNNNNNNNNNNNNNNNNNNNNNNNNNNNNNNNNNNNNNNNNNNNNNNNNNNNNNNNNNNNNNNNNNNNNNNNNNNNNNNNNNNNNNNNNNNNNNNNNNNNNNNNNNNNNNNNNNNNNNNNNNNNNNNNNNNNNNNNNNNNNNNNNNNNNNNNNNNNNGUUCUAAAUGAAAAAAAUUAAAUGUUCAGGGGAAUGGCUCAAGAUACCAUUCCUAAUAAUAAUUACCAAAUUUCUUGAGUUUUUUUUCACAUGCAUUUGUAAGAAGCUAAACAAAUUAAAACUCAUAAGAAACCAAUGACUUCAUGCCCAAGAAAUCAAUAUACAAAGAAUAAUCAACCUAUUAUAAAGUAACUUUUCAUUGCUCAAAAAGCUCUAGGGUCAAGAUGCCACUAUGGAUGAGGCUUUUAAACUUUUCUUACAACUGUUUGCAUUUUUCAGUCGAGUGCGCAAUUACCCCCAUGUGAUAAUCAUAUUUACCAUUUAUAUCAUAACUCUUGGCUAAUGGAUUUGAAGUUGCUUUUAAAGGUAUUGAGGUGAGGUACUAGUACUUUAUCAGCAGAGGCAAAAGAGUAAAAAUUAGAAUUAGGAUUUUCUCUAGAUUGUUUCUUGAUCUUAUUUGGCCAUUCAAUGGUCGAGUAGUAGAUUGGGGAUAAUGACUUAUGUGAUGAGCUAAUUGUUGGGUUAGUUGGGGAAAAUAAGGAUUCUAAGAAAAGUUAUUUAUAGUAGGGUGGUAAGGUUAGUACAUGAUGUGUGGGGUCAAGCUUCCAACCUGUUUCCCUUUAUACAUCAUGACAUGAACAUCUUCUCUUUUCAUUCUUGGUACACACACAUCCUUUAUGCCAGGUGCAUUAUCUUCUUUAAGCUUUUCACUUUUUAUGGCAUUCUCUAUUAUCUCCCCUGAUAUGACCAUGUUGGUAAAAUUCUUUAUUACAUUUCAAUCAUCCUUUCAUAAUAUGGAGCUUUAAGAGUGCUGACAAACAUGAUUGUAGUUUUUUUUUCUGUUAAAGGAGGUUGAACCUAUACAGCACCAUUCCACCUUUGAGCAUAUUCUUUGAAACUCUCAACAUCUUUUUUCUCCAUACUUUGUAGAAACAAUCGAUCCAGGAGUAACUUUACAAUGUACUUGUAUUGAGUUAUAAAUGCCCUAGCCAAUUCUUUCCAUGAAGUGAUUCGAGUUCUAUCAAAUUGAGCAUACCACUUAGUAGCAGAUCUCGUAAGAUUGUCUUAGAAUACAUGAUCACGAGUUUGUCAUCACAGGUAUGGGCAACCAUCUUUCUACAAUAUAUAGUGAUAUGGGUCAUCGGGCAUUUGGUAUCAUUAUAUUUUUCAAAUUUUGAUACCUUGAACUUGGGUAAAAUAAUCACAUCUGGCACUAAGCAAAGCUCUAAUGCAUCCAUAGAUCCAUAAAAAUCUAUUUCUUUGAUAGCUUUUAACCUCUCUUAUAUGAGAUCCUUUUUUUUAGCACCUGAAUCUUUUAUUGCUUCAAAUGAACUUUUCAUUAGUUUUACUAGCUUUUCAGAAUCAUCAAGGGUUGGAAUUGGUGAAGCAGUUGAAAGUAUUUUAGAACAAGAGUAUGCCCUUAAAGGUGGUACUUGUUGUGAUUAUACCCCUUGGGAUGCUUAUAUGUAAGUUUCUUCCACCUCUUUCUCUUUAUUUAAAUUUUUUAGCAUUUCCAUUAUCUGAGCAAAAUCUACUCUCAUUUUCUCAAUUUAGCUAUGUUGUUUUGGCUCCAUAAGUGGCAAGCAAAUUACCUUGAUGAUCGGGCUCUUAAACCUUAUUACCACAAUUAAGAAUUAGGACAAUGUCUAUUGCGAAUUUAUGCAAGAAAAUAAAAAAUGUAUAUAUGAAUGAAUGGAUGCAUCAUUAAAUCCUAUCACAUAAUAAGAAAGAGAAGAAAAAGGAAAUCUUUAAUUAAAAAUUAUUUUGACAAAAACAUCCAAAAUCAUUCCUAGGAAAAAUCUUAAAAUCUAUUGCCUAAUCCUAUUCUUUAGCUUUAAGAUCUUGGUAUUGCCAUUGAUAAGUUCUUCAGCCACUAUGAUUAUGCAAUACCCUUUUAACAAUCUUUGGCUCUCAUUUAUCCCCAAAACUCAACGCACUAUCUCUGAUUAAACUUUGCACCUUAUGCUUGAAAGCAAUGCAAUAUUUUAUUAAAUGGCCUGUAGUCCCAAAGUGAUAAUCACGUCGAGCUUCAACCUCAAACAAUUUAGGAUAAGGUGGUUUUAGUAGCUUUAAAAGAACUGGUGCGAUUAGAUAAUUUUCAAGGAAUACCGAGAAUAAUUUAAUGUAAGUCAUAAGGAUUGGAUCAAUGAUGGCUCUCUCUUUUUUUUUUUACUUAAUGAUUUUUUGAGUUGAGUAGUUUUUUUAUUCACAGGUGUAGAGUUUGGAGCAAAAUUAGGUGUAUAUGCCCAAAAGUUUAUUGGUGGGGAGCUCGACUGCUGAGCUAAAGGGUUUUGAAAUGCAUAAUUCAUAAUCGAAAAAGUAUAUGCAUAUGGGCUAAUCUGCGGAGGUUGAAAAGAAAUGGCUUUGUUUAGGAUGCCAAAAGAGAUUGUUUAGGAACAAUCGGUUGGGGAUUUGGGUAUGAGCCAAUCUAUAGAACUGUGCAAGGUUAAAAGGCCUUAUCUCUUCUACUUAUUUUUUAACUUGGUCUUUUCUUAGGCCAUUGGACACAUUGACAUGACUUGGAUCAGUAUCAGUAUUAUAAGAGGCUUUUUAAUCUUAACAAAAUGGCUAUUUAAUGCACACACAAAUUGGAGUCGAUGAGAAUUCUUGAGAAUGGGUCACUUUAAGAUUUUCCACCAUUUCCACUAGCUUGGUAAGUUGCAUUUUUAUUUCUUGUAGGUCAUGUCCAAAUUCUUUUUGGUUGAGUUUCAAAGCUUGGAUCCAUGCUUUUAACAGAUCUCUCAUUUCUUUUGAAUUGUUAUCCCAAAUGAUUAAAAGAUUUCUAUUAUGCAAUGACAUGAUGAAUGAAUGAUGAUGAUGAUCUAUGAAUAAGUGAGAUGCAUGAAAUGAAUGAAAAUAGACAAACAAAGAAAUAAAUAAAUGUAAACUUAUUGAUGCUAACAUGAUUCAAGCAAAAGAAAAUAACAAACAAGAACAAAGUUAGCGACCAUUAUAAAGAAAGAAAAACCAAAAUAAUUUAAUGCAUAACUUAAAAGAUAUGUGACCUAACUUGGAGUAUUUAUACAAAAAGGGAAAGAUAUGGAUCUACCUAUGGGUAUUACAACUCAUUAUAUGUGGUUUAGGAUUGAUUCUACAUGUUCCCAAAUUAUUUCUUACAUCAUUGUCUAUCAUAGACUAGUAAAACACCCUAAUCUUUACCCAUUAUAGGUUACAAACGGCAAGGGUUCAAUUGAAGUGGGAGUGUUUCGCUAGCCUAUGCCAAGAUAUGAAAUCUCACGAAGGCGUAGGUACUUUACUCCUCUUAAAGGAUAGAACUCGAUUGUAGAAUUCAUGUUAUUUUAUUUUAUUUAAAAAAAUAAUUAAGUUCGCCAAUAGUUUGGUAAGAUUUAAUUUAAGAUUUAAAUCCCCCAAUAGUUUGGUAAGAUUAAAAAUUUAUUAUUAAAAAAAUUAUAUUAUGAAAUUCUCCAAUAGUUUAGUAGAAUUCAUAAUUUAAAAUUUAUAAACCCAUGAAAUAAAAAAUUAAUAAUUUAAAACUCAUAGUCUUUAAAUUUUAUUUUUAAACAUACAUAAAAAAAAUGAAAUAAACGAAUAAAUAUAUAAAAAAAAUAAAAUGUGAAAAUUACCUUAAUGGAUGGAGACACGCCUAGGUGGAAGUAUCCUUUGAUUUGUAGUGACAAAUAAUCCCCAAUUUGAACCAAAGAGCUCUGCCACCAAUUUUAAUCAAAGAGCUUGGGUAUAGAUUGCUACUUAUCUAUUUCUUAAUGGGUUUCCCUUUUUUUUCUCUCUUUUAUUUUUUAUGUGUGGUUGAUUGGUGUUUAUAUAGGGCCUUUUACGAGGAAUUUUAGAGAUUUGCAUUGAAUGAAAAGGAUUACAGAUCUGAUUAAGCUCUAAAUUGAUUUUUUCCUUGAUUCUCUUUAAAAUUCGUUUAAUUAGUUUUUGAAAUUAUCUCGAUUUUUCUUAAUUUUUAGAAUCCCUCAAAAAAUUUUCAAAUUAAAUUUGACUUUGAUUCCUUGAUUUACUUUCUUUUCAACCUUUGUUUUAAUAUUUUAAAAGAUCAUGUUUUAGUUUUGAUUAUUGAGAUCUUCCUUGAUUAGUGCUCAAAUUACUCCACAAAUUUCAUUGACCUGAUUUAUGAUAAAAAUUUAAAACUAGAUAAGUAAAAGACUAAAACAUAAAAAAGAUAAAUAAAUAAAUAAAACAAAUAAGAUAUAAAAAGAAAAGUUGGAAAUUGGACAAUUAGUCUUUGUUUGAGCCCCGAACUAAAUAGGGUGUUUACAAAUAUAUAUUUUAUACUUUUUUACUUUUUAAAUUAGAUAAUUUUGUAAAAAAUGAUAUUGAUGGAAGUGUCUACAUGGCAUCCAUAUUUAUUUUCUUUCAACCUUUCAUUUUUUUAUAAAUUUUUAUUUUAAAAAAAGUUAAUAAUAAAAAUUUUACAAGAACAGUUCAUCAUUGCUAAUUUCACGUGACAACUUAACUUUUUUUAUCCUUUUUUUCGUUUUGAUUUUUUUUUACUUUUACUUUUUUUAGUUUUUUUCUCCUUUUAUUUUUUAUUAGGUCAGUUGUUUAAACAAAAGAAAAAUUAACCAAUGAGCCCAUGUGGCAACCUAUUUCAUUUUUUUACCUUUCUUCUAUUUUUUAAUUAGAUAAAUAACACAAUAAAUAGAAACAGUAAAUAAAUUUUUUAAGAAAAAAGUCUAUUGAGGUAUUCACAAUAAAUUUUCUUAAUUAGAUAAUUUUUUGAGAAAAUAAUGUCAAUGUAGGUGUUCACAUAACAUCCUCACUUGUUUUUUUCUUUUAUAAUUUUAUAGUUUAAUUAGAUGAAUUUUAUAAUAAAAUGAGACAGUUGAUAAAAAUAGCAAAACAAUCAGUAUUUAUCGAUUUCGAUACAUCUCGAUUUGAUAUGGGUGUUUUUAUAAAAAAUUGAUAUCAAAUCGAAUCAUGUUGGUUUUUAAGCUAAGGAGAAGUAAGAUGUGGAUUUAGGGUGCUUUGUCCUAAAUCAUCUCGUGGUAUACGUAAAAUUAUUAUUUUAUUAUUAAUUUGGUUUUAUAUUUGCAUACAUUUAUUAUAUUAAUAAAAUUAUUAUUUGAUACUUUAAUUUAAUAAAUUAAUAUUUUAAACUCAAUAGGGGUGUCCAUGUGGCACCUUUAUUGAGCUUUUCUUUUUUGUUUUUGUUUUUCUCUUUUUUUUUGUUUAUUUUGUUUUUCAAAUUUUUUUUAUUCUUUUAUUAGAUAAAUUUAGUGAGAGAAAAAAAAAAGCCGAUUGAAAUAUCCACAUGACACUUCCAUUUAUUUUUUUUAUCAUUUACUUUUUUAAUUAGAUAAUUUUAUUUAAAAAGUAACAUAAAAAUUAUUUUUAAUUUAAUUUUAUUAAAAUUUAUAUCAAAAUAAUAAUAAUAAAUGAACUACGAAUUAUUUUAAUUAAUAAAAUAGUUAAACCUAUGCUACGAGCUCAUUUCUAGUAUUCAAGAAAAUAGUAAAGAAAAUUAUUUAAACCCCAUCUCUUAAUUUUAAUCUUAAUUGGAACACGCUAGUAGUUUAUUUACAGAGAUCAUUAGAAAUUAAUUACUUUCUUAGUCAACUACUAGGGUUUGAAACAAGUACUAGAAAAUCGAUAGGCCUUAAAAUUUCAAUUCCUGGCAUUUUGAAUUCAAUGUUGUUGGAUUUCUUUAGGUAUGGGUUGAGCCCAAUGGCUCAUUAAUUAUGUUCUUAAUCAGGCCUAAAAUCUAUUUAACCACAAUUUAUGGUUCUUAAAACUUAUGUAAGUGUAGACAUUUAUAUUAUAAAAAUUAUCACAUUCACUUGUAAUAGUGGAGUUUUUGAAUUUUAUUAUCAAGAUUGUAAUAGUAGUGUGAGCAAUUGAUAUAAUAUUAAAUUUUAAUUUUAAUUAUGUCAUAACAUAUAGAUCCGUGGACCUACUGUUAGACAUGGAUUAAAGAAGUUACCACCAAUCUUUUUUUGUUAGGUGUGAUUGACCACCUGAUUGAAUUUGAUCUACAAGAUAGAUGUUAGGUUCAGGAGUCAGUUACGCUUGAGGAAAGUUGUAGCACUCCCACAGUACCUAUCCAAAUUAUGGUACCAGUUUGAUUUUGUAUCAUCCAAGCCUUGGUCAUUUUAUGAUUUUACCAAAUACUUUAGUAUUGAAAAUUAACCCUAAAAUUGUCCCAAUAGUUUUGUAGCAAUUCAAGAUAAUUCUCUCACAUCAUGAGUAUUCAUAAAAACUAGUAUCCCACUCUGAAAAGACUCUUUCAUCAGAUUUAUUAAUUUAUUCCAGGAAAAAGUAAAUCUCCUAAUAGUUUGGUAGGACUUAGUUUGAAGCAAUCCUCCAAUAGUUUAAAGGAUAAAAAUUCUUUAUUUAUUUGAAAAGACCCUUUUUUUAUUGAAAAGAGUUUUUAAUUAUUUUUUAUUAUUUUGAAAAUUUUAUUUGCAAAAAUUUUUUUGUUUGAAAAGAUUUUUUUUAGAAUUAUUUUUCUUUUUUUACUUUUAGAAAUAAAAUUGGAAGAAAUAACAUUUAAAAAAAAUAAAAAAUGGGUUAAAAAUAAAAUAAAAUAAAAUAAAAUUAGAAAAUAAAAAUAAAAUAGAAAAGAAAAAACCUGCGAUCAGGUCGGGUUGGUACCAAGGUCAGAACGUGGGUCAACGAGUCACGUGCGGAUCCUUGGCUAUCUAAAAUGGUGUCGUGUUGGAAGAGUAUAAAAGCCACACCACUCAACUUUUCUUCAGAACUAUUUGAUUAAGCCUUUCUUUCUAAAAUGUAUAUUCUUUUGUCUUCUCUCUAACUGAUUUUCAAAAAUUGACGAAUAAAUCUCAAAAGCUGAUAGGGAAUUUUCAAGAACCCAACAAAUUAUCUAGAAAGCUAAACUCAGAAGUCCUUGGAAUGCAAAACCCUAUAGAAAUUCAAACCCAAAAACACCAAAUCCCAAUCCUAGAAAAUCUAAACAAAUCAAAUCCAAGACCUAAAACCUCUUGGUUGCUAAAUAAAUUUCUCUUUUUUUUUUCUCUAAAAUUUUUUCAUAAUCUUUUUUUUUUCUCCUUUCCCUUGCUUUGAUCAUAGGUUUAUAUAGAAGUUCAUGCUCAAUCAAUUCUCCUUAAAUCCAUUAUUUUGUUUGAUUUUCGUUUUAAUGAGAAUUGAUUUUGAAAUCAAAUCCCAAAAUUCUCUCCCUAUCAUUUUAAUGUAAAUUGAUUAUGGAAUUAAAUUCUGACAAUCUCUCUACAUCAAAUGCCAAUUGAUUCUGGAAUUAAAUUCCAAAAAUCUUUCAACUAUGGUUAAACUCCGAAAAAAUAUUCUCAGAUAAAAUGGGGUGUCUACAAAUUAUCAAAGUUCAAAUUUUGAUGAUUUUAAAUAUAAAUUCUUUAUAUCAUCUAACAUUACACAUGCACAUGUAAUAAUACAUACAAAGCAAAUAAUAAAAAGCUAAAAACUAUCUUAUAAAAUGUGGAAAUUAUAGUGGGGAAUUGGGGAUUAGAUAACAGGAAGCCUUAAAAAAUAUGAAUUAUUACCAAAUUUCAGUACCAUCAUCUCAAUACAAUUAUUUUGUAAGAAACCUUUAUGAAGUAAGAGAGGGUCUAAAUUUAUAAUUGAAAAAUGAAUUAGCUAAUAGUAGGAUAGAAAAAUAAUUUAAAAGAUUAAAAUUAGUAAUUUCAUAAUCAAAUAAAUGAUUUUUUAAAAAAUUAAUGUAAAACUAUGUUUUUGAAACCAACGCAAUGCAUAAAUGACAUCACAAAUUAAUCUUCAUAUAUGUCUUGCAAACAUUUUAAUAAAAUUACAAAAAAAAAAAAAUUUAAGUAUUUCCAAAAGUAAAAUCCAGAUAUAUAUCAUAUUGCUAAACAUGCUAUUUCAACUUUUGAUAAUUGAAGUUACCUUCAUAAGUGAAAUCCCACUUGAAAUCCUGCCACUAAUUAACUCACUUUGAUAUUUGAAUUCUUAUCAGUGUGUAACUAUUUUUUACCUGCUGAGGCCAGCAUCGGCAUAUACUUCAAUCUUUCUGUCAAACAUCUUCAAUUUUAUCAAAACCAUUUUCUUCUAUGCUUACAUAUGCGAGUGCAAACACAUUUGCGUGUGUGUAAAAAUAAAAGGAAUUAAGCGUUUAAAGUAGAUUCAUAUAUACACUAUCUGCUUUCCUCCCAAAUAUGUUUUCUUUCAAGUUUCCUCAAACCGUUUGUCAUAUUUUUAGGUAUUAAAAAUAUUAACAUAUAAUUUAUAAUAGUGCGACCAACGUGGUCAUGGUAUUUGAUACACAUAAUAUAACUUGUAAGCAUACAAAAUUACACACAGAUUAGCAUAAAACAGGGGUUUUAUUUUAUUUUAAUUUUAUCAUGUUUUUGAGAAAACAUGAAAGAAAAAGACCCAAAGAUACAUAUUUAUUUUUCAUCAGUCAUAAGCACCCCCCAUACUUAGGCUGAAAGUUGAUCCAUCAGCACUUAAACGGAACCGCUGAAACCUUUAUUGUAAGCAUAUUCAAUAAGGGAAUCCAACUCAUCAUUGGUGCAGUCGAUCAAAUUGUCCUUAUUUUUAUCAGCAACGUCCAUGGCCUCUUCAACUUGCUUGUUUGGCGUGACUGCACCUAGAUGUUCAAAAGCAUCCUUGAGCUGGUCCUUGGUGAGGCUGCCCUGCUUAGAGUAAGAUCGAAACACUUGUUCCAAUUUGUUUUUCUGAUCCUUGUUAUCCUUUGUAGCUUGCAUUGUGGAUUUUGAGGUUUGUGACCGGGUGAUAUUAGAGAGAAGGCUUGCCUAGCUUGGUUUGGUUUUCUUUUCCAAUGCUACUUGUUUAUAUAGACCCAAAACUCUGAAUACGAUUCUGUUUAAGUGUUGGGGAAUAAAACAUUUUUUGGUGGUGGGUUUAAAAAAUUGAUUUCCAUCUUUUUUAUCAAUAAAAUUAAUAAAUCAAUCAAUAAAUUUUAUAAUGAAUACUUAAAAAAAAAAUUCCAAGAGGAUUGGUACGAAUAAAAAUAUUAAUGUUAAUUUCUUCUUUUCUUCUGGCUUCAAAUUAACCACAGAUUGGAAAAAGCUAAACGGCAGCCUCCACUAUCUUGUGUCCAUUUUCUAUUGUUUCAUUUGUUUUAGCCCUCAAUUUGCAGUUUUUAGGUUUUUCUUUUUUGGUUCCCUGAUUAAAUGAUGCAUUUUGGUCCAUUUGGUUUUAAUGAAUUUCAGAAUUUGGUAGAUCUCGUGAAAGGAGUUCUAGGAAGUACUUUGAUGAGCAUGCUUGUAAAUUGUGAUAAUUAUUGUGUAUGAAUGUUAAGUUAUCCAAAAAUAAAUAAGUUUAGCAUUACGACUGUCUUUCUUUUUUUGUUUGCCAUAAAUGAUUCUGGAGCAAAGCAAACUACUGUUAAACUAAUUAUUUGCAUUGUACCACUUCCAGGAAUCAUGGCCUUAGUGGGUUAAAACUGUAUACAUGUUUCUCUCUCAUAUGUUCUUAAUCUGGGUAGGAUAGAAUGAAGUUUGGGCCAUUUCAAUUCCUUUGCACCUUUUUUCCCUUGUACUGUAAUAUUUUCUCAACCACCCUUUUGCAAGGGGAAAGCUGUAAUAUAUUAUAUAUAUAUAUAUAUUUUUUAAAUUAGAUAAUUUUGUAAAAAAAUUAUAUUGAUGGAAGUGUGUACAUGGUAGUCAGAUUUUAUUUUUUCAUUUCUUCAUUUUUUAUAAAGCUUUAUUUUUAAAAAGUUCCUAAUAAAAAUUUUUACAAGAAUAAAUCAUCAUUAUUAACAUUGCAUGACAAUUCAAUUUUUUUUCCUUUUUAUUUGUUUUGAUUUUCAUUUUCAUUUUUUCAUUUUUAGUUUUUUUUCUCCCUUUAUUUUUUACUAGAUCAAUUGUUUCAGUGAAAAAACUCAUCGGAUGUGCCCACAUGACAUCCUAUUUUAUUUUUUGACUUUCAUCUUUUUUUUUAAUUAGAUAAAUAAUACAGUAAAAAAAUCAGUAUAUAAAUUUUAUAAGAUAAAAAUCAAUUGAAGUAUAGACAACAAAAUAUCUUGUAUCCGAUAUGUUUUGAUUCCUAUGGAUCAAUCGGUGUGCUUUUUCUUUUUUUUUAAUUUAGGAUUGGAAACCUUAAAAAAUAUGAAUUAUUACCAAAUUACAAUAGUAUCAUCUACAAAAAUAAUUUUGUAAGAAACCUUAUGAAGUAAGAAACGGAAAACUUAUAAUUGAAAAAUGAAUUAAUUAAUAGUAGGAUAGAAAAAUAAUUUAAAAGAUUACAAUUAGUAAUUUCAUAAUCAAAUAAAUGAAUUUUUUUUAAAUUAAUGUAAAGCUAUGUUUUCUAAACCAAAGAAAUGCACAAAUGACACUACAAAUUGAUAAUUCAUAUAUGCCUCACAAACAUUUUAAUAAAAUUACAAAAAAAAAUUUAACUAUUUCCAAAAAUAAAAUCUUGAUAUAUAUAAUUUUGCUAAAUAAGGUAUUUAAACUUUUGAUAAAUGAAGUUACCUUCAUAAAUGAAAUCUUACUUGAAAUCCUGCAAUUAAUUAACUAAUUUUGAUAGUUUAGUUUUCAUUAAAGUGUAAUUUUCUUUUGCUUGCUAAGACCAACAUCUGUAUGUACUUUAAUUUUUUUGUCAAAUAGCUAUAGUUUUAUCAAAAUCAUUUUCGUCUAUACUUACAUAUAAGCACGUGCAAAAACAAAUGCAUAAAUGUGUGUAAAAUUAAAAAGAAUUAAGCAUUUAAUUAGAUUCAUAUAUAUAGAUAUAUAUAUAUAUAUAUAUACAUACACAUACACACACUAUCUGUAUUCCUCAUAAAUAGGUUAAUUUUCAAAUUUUCUCGAAACCUUUUAUCAUGUUUUUAAGUAAUAAAAAUAUUAGUGUAUGGUUCAUAAUAGUAUGAUAACAUGUUCAUGGUAUUUGAUACACACAAUAUAACUUGCAAGCAUGUAAAAUUACACAGAUUUGAAUAAAAACAGGGGAUUUUAUUUUAUUUUAAUUUUAUCAUGUUUUUGAGAUAACAUGAAGGAAAAAGACCCAAAGCUAUAUAUUUAUUUUUCAUCAGUCAUAAGCAUCCCCCAUACUUAGGCUGAAAGUUGAUCCAUCAGCACUCAAACGGAACUGCUGAAGCCUUUAUUGUAAGCAUAUUCAAUAAGGGAAUCCAACUCAUCAUUGGUGCAGUCGAUCAAACUGUCCUUAUUUUUAUCAGCAACGUCCAUGGCCUCUUCAACUUGCUUGUUUGGCGUGAGUGCACCUAGAUGUUCAAAAGCAUCCUUGAGCUGGUCCCUGGUGAGGCUGCCCUGCUUGGAGUGAGAUCGAAACACUUGUUCCAAUUUGUUUUUCUGAUCCUUGUUAUCCGUUGUGGCUUGCAUUGUGGAUUUUGAGGUUUAUGACAGGGUGAUAUAAGAGAAAGGGCUUGCCUAGCUUGGUUU